GUCCUUUUGAAUUUUAUAGAAGGUCUGACCUGCCCAGUGAUAAUUUUAACGGCCGCGGUAUACUGACCGUGCAAAGGUAGCAUAAUCAUUAGUCUUUUAAUAGAGGGCUGGAAUGAAAGGUUUAACGAGGAAUUGACUGUCUCAUUUUAUUUGUUUUAGAACUUAAUUUUUUAGUCAAAAAGCUAAAAUCUUAUUGGAAGACGAGAAGACCCUAUAGAUCUUUAUAAAACUUUAUUUAAUUAUUUUUAUAUCAAUUUAUUUAAAUGAUUUUUUAUUUUGUUGGGGUGACAAAAAUAUAUAUAAAACUUUUUUAUUUAUUUAACAUUAAUUUAUGAUUAUUAGAUCCAUUAUUAGUGAUUGAUAGACUAAGUUACCUUAGGGAUAACAGCGUAAUCCUCCUCCAGAGUUCAUAUUUACAGGAUGGGCUUGCGACCUCGAUGUUGGAUUAAGAUGAUAAUUAGGUGUAGCCGCUUAAUUUAUAGGUCUGUUCGACCUUUAAACUCUU
rnacentral:rRNA from 1 species